rnacentral:rRNA from 1 species
UUCGGCAAUGGACGAAAGUCUGACCGAGCAACGCCGCGUGAGUGAAGAAGGUUUUCGGAUCGUAAAGCUCUGUUGUAAGUCAAGAACGUGUGUGAGAGUGGAAAGUUCACACAGUGACGGUAGCUUACCAGAAAGGGACGGCUAACUACGUGCCAGCAGCCGCGGUAAUACGUAGGUCCCGAGCGUUGUCCGGAUUUAUUGGGCGUAAAGGGAGCGCAGGCGGUCAGGAAAGUCUGGAGUAAAAGGCUAUGGCUCAACCAUAGUGUGCUCUGGAAACUGUCUGACUUGAGUGCAGAAGGGGAGAGUGGAAUUCCAUGUGUAGCGGUGAAAUGCGUAGAUAUAUGGAGGAACACCAGUGGCGAAAGCGGCUCUCUGGUCUGUCACUGACGCUGAGGCUCGAAAGCGUGGGUAGCGAACAGGAUUAGAUACCCUGGUAGUCCACGCCGUAAACGAUGAGUGCUAGGUGUUAGGCCCUUUCCGGGGCUUAGUGCCGGAGCUAACGCAAUAAGCACUCCGCCUGGGGAGUACGACCGCAGGUUGAAACUCAAAGGAAUUGACGGGGGCCCGCACAAGCGGUGGAGCAUGUGGUUUAUUCGAAGCA